rnacentral:lncRNA from 1 species
GCCCAGGGGUUGCCGGACAUCUUCGUGUCUGACAAUGGCCACGCUUUCGCCAGAACCGAGUACCUGGCCUGGCUGACGAAGAACGAAAUCCGCCGGAUGAUGGUUCCGCCGUACCACCCUGCUUCAAACGGUGCAGCCGAGCGGGUGCUGCAAACCAUGAAAGACACAAG